UGGGGAAUAUUGCACAAUGGGGGAAACCCUGAUGCAGCAACGCCGCGUGAAGGAAGACGGUCUUCGGAUUGUAAACUUUUGUUCUUGGUGAAGAAAAAUGACGGUAGCCAAGGAGGAAGCCACGGCUAACUACGUGCCAGCAGCCGCGGUAAUACGUAGGGGCGAGCGUUGUCCGGAAUUACUGGGCGUAAAGGGAGCGUAGGCGGUUAAUUAAGUUAGAUGUGAAAUACCCGGGCUUAACUUGGGGGGUGCAUCUAAUACUGGUAAACUAGAGUACAGGAGAGGAAAACGGAAUUCCUAGUGUAGCGGUGAAAUGCAUAGAUAUUAGGAGGAACAUCGGUGGCGAAGGCGGCUUUCUGGACUGACACUGACGCUGAGGCUCGAAAGCGUGGGGG
rnacentral:rRNA from 1 species